rnacentral:rRNA from 1 species
CCUACGGGUGACAGCAGUGGGGAAUAUUGCACAAUGGGGGAAACCCUGAUGCAGCGACGCCGCGUGAGUGAGGAAGUAUUUCGGUAUGUAAAGCUCUAUCAGCAGGGAAGAAAAUGACGGUACCUGACUAAGAAGCCCCGGCUAACUACGUGCCAGCAGCCGCGGUAAUACGUAGGGGGCAAGCGUUAUCCGGAUUUACUGGGUGUAAAGGGAGCGUAGACGGAAUAGCAAGUCUGAUGUGAAAACCCGGGGCUCAACUCCGGGAGUGCAUUGGAAACUGUUGAUCUAGAGUGUCGGAGAGGCAAGCGGAAUGCGCAGUGUAGCGGUGAAAUGCUUAGAUAUUGCGCAGAACUCCGAUUGCGAAGGCAGCAUACCGGCGGCGAUCUGACGCUGAGGCACGAAAGCGUGGGUAUCGAACAGGAUUAGAUACCCUUGUAGUC